GACGAACGCUGGCGGCGUGCUUAACACAUGCAAGUCGAACGGAAAGGCCCCCUUGUGGGGUACUCGAGUGGCGAACGGGUGAGUAACACGUGAGUAACCUACCCUUGACUUUGGGAUAACUUCAGGAAACUGGGGCUAAUACCGGAUAGGAGCUCCUGCUGCAUGGUGGGGGUUGGAAAGUUUCGGCGGUUGGGGAUGGGCUCGCGGCUUAUCAGCUUGUUGGUGGGGUAGUGGCUCACCAAGGCUUUGACGGGUAGCCGGCCUGAGAGGGUGACCGGCCACAUUGGGACUGAGAUACGGCCCAGACUCCUACGGGAGGCAGCAGUGGGGAAUAUUGCACAAUGGGCGGAAGCCUGAUGCGGCAACGCCGCGUGCGGGAUGACGGCCUUCGGGUUGUAAACCGCUUUCGCCUGUGACGAAGCGUGAGUGACGGUAAUGGGUAAAGAAGCACCGGCUAACUACGUG
rnacentral:rRNA from 1 species